UGAAACGCAGAACGUAGACAGGAGAAACUUGCUUCUGGGACUCGGAGGUCUCUACGGCGCUGCCAACUUGACGACCAUUCCGUCAGCCUUUGGCAUUCCCAUCGCUGCUCCAGACAAUAUUUCAGACUGUGUUGCUGCGACUUCAAACCUAAGGAACAGCAAAGACGCUAUAAGGGGACUAGCGUGUUGUCCUCCGGUGCUUUCAACAAACAAACCAAUGGAUUACGUCCUUCCUUCAAACCCUGUGAUUCGUGUUCGACCAGCUGCACAGAAAGCCACUGCCGAUUACAUUGCUAAGUAUCAACAAGCAAUUCAAGCCAUGAAGGAUCUCCCCGAGGACCACCCACAUAGCUGGAAGCAACAAGGCAAGAUUCACUGUGCUUAUUGCAACGGUGGUUACAAUCAAGAACAAAGUGGUUACCCGAAUUUACAACUUCAGAUUCACAACUCAUGGCUCUUCUUUCCUUUCCACCGGUGGUACCUCUAUUUCUACGAGAAGAUAUUGGGGAAGUUGAUUAAUGAUCCAACUUUCGCUCUACCUUACUGGAACUGGGAUAACCCUACUGGAAUGGUUAUUCCUGCCAU
rnacentral:lncRNA from 1 species